rnacentral:rRNA from 1 species
UACGUAGGGUGCGAGCGUUAAUCGGAAUUACUGGCGUAAAGCGUGCGCAGGCGGUUUUGUAAGCCAGAUGUGAAAUCCCCGGGCUCAACCUGGGAAUUGCAUCUGUGACUGCAUCGCUAGAGUACGGUAGAGGGGGAUGGAAUUCCGCGUGUAGCAGUGAAAUGCGUAGAUAUGUGGAGGAACACCGAUGGCGAAGGCAGCCCCCUGGGUCAAGAUUGACGCUCAUGCACGAAAGCGUGGGGAGCAAACAGG